rnacentral:ncRNA from 1 species
UAUGCCAGAGGUGGGAAAAUGCGUUGCACCCAUGCGCCGAAUUGGCUAAAAGAGAUGCUGCAGAUUGCGACGGCAGCCUGGCAAA